rnacentral:misc_RNA from 1 species
GCGGAUUUUACAACAGUGCGGAUGCUCCGCUUUACCGUCUGACUGUGAAUGCAACCCUGCGCCUGUUCCUGCGCACACCCUUCCAGCCCUGCCGACCUUCCAGCCUUCCAGUGUGCCUAUGAGUAUGCAGUGAAAAUGACAGCAGUGGCAGAGGAGCCAUCAACAUCACCAUCACCGUAGACAGCAGAAACGUUGACGCCAGCGCUAGACGAGAGCCAAGGUUCCUGCCACCCAGUUAGCCCACUCGAUUGGAUAAUCGCCGAGGAUCGGAAAACGUGAAAGCAGCCCUCGAAUAGUCCAAGUCCACAAUCUCAGCCAGCCAGCAUGUCCUAGUGAAGUCCUAGUCGUGGGAAGAGUGCAGAGAAGAGAAGAGAAUAGGAUAGCAGAGCAGGAGCUGCACGAUGGCCUCCGGCGAUGGCGACACCAUCAACACCAUCGACAUGGACAGCUCCUCGGCGUCACAGGCCAAACUGGCCGAGCCCAGCAAUGCCUCCACCGACCAUGUGGGAAACUCAUCGCCCGACCUGGGCAACCGACCGAACCGAGCGUCCAGCAAGGCGGACAAGGAGCGCAAGAUUGGCCACAGACGCGUCGGCGAGGGCGGCGAGAUUACGUACAAAAAGAUCCAGACGUCGCAGAUCAUGGGCUCCAUCCAACUGGGAAUCCAGCACACUGUCGGCAGUCUGGCCUCGAAGCCCAAGCGUGAUCUACUUAUGAUGGACUUCUGGGAAAUCGAGAGCAUCACCUUUCCACCAGAGGGUUCUAGCCUUACACCUGCCCACCACUACAGCGAGUUCAGAUACAAGAUCUACGCGCCCAUAGCGUUUCGCUACUUUCGGGAUCUGUUUGGCAUCCAGCCAGAUGAUUUUAUGAUGUCCAUGUGCACGUCCCCGCUGCGGGAACUGUCCAAUCCUGGUGCUUCCGGCUCUAUAUUCUACCUGACGACCGACGACGAGUUCAUCAUAAAGACGGUGCAACACAAGGAGGGUGAAUUCUUACAGAAACUACUGCCUGGUUACUAUAUGAAUCUAAAUCAAAAUCCGCGCACGCUAUUGCCAAAGUUCUUCGGAUUGUACUGCCUGCAGACGAGCAAUGCCAAAAAUAUUCGCCUGGUGGUCAUGAACAAUCUGCUGCCCUCGUCCGUGAAGAUGCACCUCAAGUACGACCUCAAGGGCUCCACGUUCAAGCGCAAGGCCAACAAGGCGGAGCGUGCCAAGAAGUCGCCCACGUACAAGGACCUCGACUUCAUGGAGCAGCAUCCCAACGGCAUAUUCCUGGAGGCCGAGACCUACGCCGCGCUGAUCAAGACCAUUCAACGCGACUGUACGGUGCUGGAGUCCUUUAAGAUCAUGGAUUACUCCCUGCUCCUCGGCGUCCACAAUCUGGACGUGGCGCUAAAGGAGAAGCAGAGUGAGCAGAGAAAACCGCUCAGGGCUCCGCUGGCCGAGGACUCCGAUGUAGAUGGAGACGAUCCCCUGGAUGGCGAUGCGGCCACAGGCAUCAGCAGGAAUAAUGCGGCAUACAGGUCGGUGAAUCGCCAGCGGCUGGUUGCCCACUCCACGGCUAUGGAGAGCAUUCAGGCGGAGAGUGAACCCAUCGACGACGAGGAGGAUGUGCCACCUGGUGGCAUUCCAGCAAGGAGUGAGAAGGGCGAACGCCUGCUGCUCUACAUCGGCAUUAUCGACAUCCUGCAAUCCUACAGGCUGAAGAAGAAGCUGGAGCACACAUUCAAAAGCAUCAUACACGAUGGGGAAACCGUAUCGGUCUGCCGGCCCUCGUUCUAUGCUCAAAGAUUCCAAAACUUUAUGGCCAAGACCGUGUUCCGCAAGAUACCCUCCCUGGAUCUCCCAGAGAUCAAGGGGAAUCACAGAAAAUUUCGUACCUUGGUGACCAGCUACAUAGGUAAACAAACGAAUGGUCGAUGUCCUUUAACCUUUGAUUAUCUCUCACUUGAGUUUUACUUACACCUUUCUUAUCGAGUAUUUUAUAGUGUUUAUUAACGAUGUUUUGUAUUCACCACUUGGUUUUAUAUGAUUUCGAAACGGACGCCAAAGCAUGCCUCUCAAUCUCACCGCUUAAGCAUUCGCCUUCUAAGAGAAAAAGCCUUUCCAAGGCCAUUCAGCGUUCCAUUGACAGCGACAACGAGGUGGCCUCCAGGC